GCCGGGCGUGGUGGCGCAUGCCUGUAAUCCCAGCUACUCAGGAGGCUGAGGCAGGAGAAUUGCUUGAACCCGGGAGGCAGAGGUUGCAGUGAGCCGAGAUCACGCCAUUGCACUCCAGCCUGGGCAACAAGUGUGAAACUCUGUCUCAAAAAAAAAAAAAAAAAAAGUCAGGGUCUCGCUUUGUCACUCAGGCUGGAGUACAGAGGUGCAGUCAUAGCUCACUGCAGCCUUUGCCUCCUGGGCUUAACUGAUCCUCGC
rnacentral:lncRNA from 1 species